rnacentral:misc_RNA from 1 species
GCAAAAGGAUCAUUAGUGAAAAUUUGGGCAGGCCAUACGGACGCCAAAAAGUGUCCCUGGCCGCCUACACCCACUAUACAUCCACAAACCCGUGUGCACUGUCUUGGAGAAAGGCUUCAGAGAAGUUUUUUGUGGCCUCUCUUGGGGUCUUUCUUCGCUACAAACUCGAAUGGUUAGUAUGAACGUGGAACUUGGUUGGACCGUCACUGGCCAACAAACUAUACACAACUUUCGACAACGGAUCUCUUGGUUCUCCCA